UGAGCAAGUCGAGGCCGCCGUGCUGGAGAGAGAGACCAUGUGGAGAAGUCGUGAAGAUGACAGCCACAUGGGAAUAAAGUCUAGCCACAGCUGAAUGCAGCCACAUGAGUGACCCCAGCCAACACGCAUGGGACAAAAGCACCACUGUCGACCAACAGAAUCGUGAGAAAUAAUAAGUCACUGUUGCUGUAAGCCACUAAGUGUUGGGAGCGCUUGUUACACGGGGAUGAAAAACUGAAACAGACCAACAGCAAAAACUCUACACUGUUGUGGGUUCAAGGACACCUAGAAAGGUCAAGACUUUUCUGGCAAUUACGUCUAAGUCCUGGAAUUCACUCUGAUUGGGUCCCCGCCGGUCAUGUGACAGCUGUGAGCCAGUUGCCCAGCUAAAGGAAUGGAGUGCUCUGAUUGGCGUGGGCUGGUCACGUGUCUUGUCCUGUAGCAGAAAGUGGAGACUCACCUGGACCCUGAGGACCACGAGAAAUGUGUAAGAGUGAAUCCCCAGC